rnacentral:rRNA from 1 species
GCCUAACACAUGCAAGUCGAGCGGCAGCGGGAAAGUAGCUUGCUACUUUUGCCGGCGAGCGGCGGACGGGUGAGUAAUGCCUGGGGAUCUGCCCAGUCGAGGGGGAUAACUACUGGAAACGGUAGCUAAUACCGCAUACGCCCUACGGGGGAAAGCAGGGGACCUUCGGGCCUUGCGCGAUUGGAUGAACCCAGGUGGGAUUAGCUAGUUGGUGAGGUAAUGGCUCACCAAGGCGACGAUCCCUAGCUGGUCUGAGAGGAUGAUCAGCCACACUGGAACUGAGACACGGUCCAGACUCCUACGGGAGGCAGCAGUGGGGAAUAUUGCACAAUGGGGGAAACCCUGAUGCAGCCAUGCCGCGUGUGUGAAGAAGGCCUUCGGGUUGUAAAGCACUUUCAGCGAGGAGGAAAGGUUGGUAGCUAAUAACUGCCAGCUGUGACGUUACUCGCAGAAGAAGCACCGGCUAACUCCGU